CUCCUCCGUUCGCUACCACCUGACCCGUGUACUCACAUAGCUGUUAGCAUCGGUUAGCUGGUUACUCGUGUUAACUUCAGUUUGGCCCACGGGACGUUUUAAGCGUCUGUAUAUCUGCCGUUUAACCAACAUUUCCAGCUAUGCCUCUGCCUAAGAAACUGAUGAAGGGCGUGAUCGUGGUGGAGCUGCUGGGCGUCUGUGGAGCGUACGCUCUCUUUCACAAAAUGAACAACAGUCGAGAUUUCAGAAACACCAUGAAUACGAAGUUCCCUUCGAUUCUUGAAGGUAAGAAAACAUGUGUUUAUUUGAGUCUUGUUUAUGGACUUAUUUAUGUAAAUAUUUGUGUAAAUCUCCUGAAAAACCUGAUUCAUACUGAAACGGUUUUUACUCAAGUGUAAAAUCGUCAUCAGGAAACAUUUUUAGCCUCUUUAUAUAACAGAUCAUUAUAGAUUUACAAUAGAAGAAAAUCUGCUAGGGUUUUCUUUCUUAUGAAACCGUGUAAAAACAACAACAUGAUCAGCUGACCGCUCCUGUCUCCUCCCAGUUUACUACCAGUCCAAUGAGUGGGCGGGGAUUCACGGAAUCCGAGAGCGAGACGUUGAAGUGUGGUCGACCAAACACGACUGAAGGCGUCUGUUUGUAAAAAAGUUCACACUCGUGAUGAUGAUGAUGAACUACUUCCUCCUCUUCUUGUUGUUGUUGUUGUUGCCGCCGAGCGUCUUGCCUCCUGCCUUGCCUCUGGCGAACGUCGGCCUCCUCUUGUUGAACACCGCCUUCUUCUUGCGCAGCGUCUUGACGUCGCGGCCCUGGAUCCAGUCGUCGCGCUGAGACUCCCACUUCAGCUGCUUCACACCUGAGAGAGAGCGAGCGAGAGGACGUUGCACAACUUUCACAAGUUUUGUAGAAACAACUAUGUGUAAAACUACGUGUAAACAUUUACGGCAGAAGUCUGAACUUGGGAGUGACGUCACAAACAACAAAGCAACAUGUCUACGACUAAUAAAAGUAAAAUGUGUACGACUGAUUUAUGACACUUUUCCACUUAGCCUUGAUUGGCUUUUUGCAAAAUUUUCCACUUGGGUGGAAACUUAAAUUAAUGAGGAUUGUCGCAUUGGAAAAUAAGAUUUCACAACUUUGCAACCACGUUUUUACUGAAUAUUAAAUAUUUAAAUGUA